rnacentral:rRNA from 1 species
UACGUAGGUGGCAAGCGUUGUCCGGAUUUAUUGGGUUAAAGGGUGCGUAGGCGGCCCUGUAAGUCAGUGCUGAAAUAUCCCGGCUUAACCGGGAGGUGGCAUUGAUACUGCGGGCUAGAGUACAGAUGAGGUAGGCGGAAUUGACGGUGUAGCGGUGAAAUGCUUAGAUAUCGUCAAGAACACCUAUAGCGAAGGCAGCUUACUAGGCUGUAACUGACGCUGAGGCACGAAAGUGUGGGAGUCAAACAGGA